GUAUCACUGUGGUACACUUUUGGUGGAGGAACCAAACUCAUCAUUAACUCUGGCACCAUGGUCAGGCCCUCAGUCUCUCUGCUUCCCCCCUCCUCUGAGCAGCUCUCUGGGGGCUCGGCCACGCUGGCCUGCCUGCUGACCGGCUACUCUCCUCAGGGAGCCGUGGUGAGCUGGCAGGUGGACGGUACGGAGGUGACGGAGGGGGUCCUGAGCAGCUCAGAGGAGGAGAAGAGCGGCCGCUACAGCAGCAGCAGCACCCUGAGCCUGAGCCAGGAGCGCUGGAUGGAAGGAGAGCUGUACUCCUGCAGGGUCCUCCAUCAGGGCCACAGCCAGACCCAGUCCCUCCACAGGAGCCAGUGUAAGGGCUAGAGGGGCCGGCUGAAGCCCAGGACAGGAGCUCUGUGUGGGGGGGAGCAGCUCUGAUCAAUAGGAGUUUGAAUGCUUGUAGAGGAAACUGAAGCUUUGUGUGACAGAGAACAACACUGCUGUAAAGUGUUGGACAACAACAACUUAGAGAGGAAUGUGUGUCGCUCAGCAGCUUCAUGUGAGUGAGCUUAAUAACUGUCAUGUUGAUCACUGAUGUUGUUGCUAAUAAAGAUUUCACUGAUACAUAACUUCA